rnacentral:rRNA from 1 species
AUUGAACGCUGGCGGCAUGCCUUACACAUGCAAGUCGAACGGUAACAGGUUAAGCUGACGAGUGGCGAACGGGUGAGUAAUGUAUCGGAACGUGCCCAGUCGUGGGGGAUAACUGCUCGAAAGAGCAGCUAAUACCGCAUACGACCUGAGGGUGAAAGCGGGGGAUCGCAAGACCUCGCGCGAUUGGAGCGGCCGAUAUCAGAUUAGGUAGUUGGUGGGGUAAAAGCCUACCAAGCCUACGAUCUGUAGCUGGUCUGAGAGGACGACCAGCCACACUGGGACUGAGACACGGCCCAGACUCCUACGGGAGGCAGCAGUGGGGAAUUUUGGACAAUGGACGCAAGUCUGAUCCAGCCAUGCCGCGUGCGGGAAGAAGGCCUUCGGGUUGUAAACCGCUUUUGUCAGGGAAGAAAAGGUUCUGGCUAAUACCCGGGACUCAUGACGGUACCUGAAGAAUAAGCACCGGCUAACUACGUGCCAGCCGCCGCGGUAAUAC